rnacentral:rRNA from 1 species
CCUACGGGUGGCAGCAGUGAGGAAUAUUGGUCAAUGGACGCAAGUCUGAACCAGCCAUGCCGCGUGCAGGAAGACGGCUCUAUGAGUUGUAAACUGCUUUAGUACGAGGGUAAACGCAGAUACGCGUAUCUGUCUGAAAGUAUCGUACGAAUCAGGAUAGGCUAACACCGUGCCAGCAGCCGCGGUAAUACGGAGGAUUCAAGCGUUAUCCGGAUUUAGUGGGGUUAAAGGGUGCGUAGGCGGUCGGAUAAGUUAGAGGUGAAAGCCCGUGGCUCAACUUCGGAAUUGCCUCUGAUACUGUUCGGCUAGAGAGUAGUAGCGGUAGGCGGAAUGUAUGGUGUAGCGGUGAAAUGCGUAGAGAUCAGACAGAACACCGAUUGCGAAGGCAGCUUACCAAGCUACUUCUGACGUUGAGGCACGAAAGCGUGGGGAGCAAACAGGAUUAGAUACCCGGGUAGUC